AGUGAUCCUGCCUCCUGGCACUCACACCCUUGUAUCAUCUGCCCCACUUCCUUGAGUGUGGGCUGGACCUAGUGGCUUGCUCCCAAGGAAGGAAACACAGCAAAGGUGAUGGAAUGUCACAUCUGUGAUUCAUAGACAGACUUCCUUCUUGUAAGCAGACACUGUCUUUCAAUGGCUUUCAGGAAGCAGGCAGCCACGUUGGAGAGGCCCAUACGGCAUGGCCACCAUGGCCAGCAAGGCGUGGAGGCCCUCAGUCCAGCAGCCCGUGAGGAACCGCAUUCUGCCAGCCACCAAAUGACUGAGCUUGAAACAACCCCACAUGAAUCUUGAGAUGAACCCACAGCCCCAGGUGACACACCUUGAUCACAGUCUGAGAGAAAUCCCGGAGCAGAGAACCAAGUAAAGAUUACUGGUCCACAGCAACGAGAGAAUAAAGCACAGGCCUUGAUGUGGAGUGUUUCGAGGAGAGGAGCCCAGAGGACAGAGCCCUGUCUCCAACUGCCCUACCCAGGCCCCCUGCCCUCAGCUGGGCAGACGAGGAAAGUGGGAGAAGCUGCCUCACGUCCUCAAGGAGCCACAGCCGUGGAUCCUUUCCAAAGAGCAAUCCUCCCAAAGCUGGGAACUCCAGGCCUGUCUGGAGCAGGGCAAGCUUUCCAAAGCACAUCCACUUCCCCUGUCUCCCCUGCUCUCACCAGUACCCCAGGGAGGACAGAGAAAUGGCACCAGUCAUCUACAAGACUCUCAGAAGCUUUGCCUGUUCAAGUUUCAACAGACCUAAAAGCCACACCAUUUGUUAUAUGACUUUUCACCUCCUACCUUCAAGAGCAGAAUCUGCUUCUCCACCCUUUGAACUUGGGCUGGCCUUGUGAUUUAUUUUGGCCGAUAGAAUGCAGCAGAAGCGACAAGAUCCCAGUGCCAAACCUUGGCCUCAAGAAGCCUUGUGUAGGCUGGGUGUGGUGGUGCGCAGUGGCACAAGCUUGUAAUCCCAGCACUUUGGGAGGCUGAGGCAGGUGGAUCGCUUGACCCCAGGAGUUCAAGACCAGUCUGGGCAACGUAAUGAAAUCUCAUCUCUACAAAAAAUACGAAAAUUAGCUAGGCAUGGUGAUAUGGACCUAUAGUCUCAGCUUGGGAGACUGAAGAGGGAGGAUCACUUGAGCCCAAGAGGUCAAGGCUGCAGGAAGCUGUGAUUGUGCCACUGCACUCCAGCCUGGGCAACAGAGUGAGAUGUCUCAAAAAAGAGAAGGCUUUUGUGCUUCCACACCUUCCGGACCGGUCUCUGCCAUAAGAACAAGUCGGACAAGCCUUCUGGCUAAUGAGGGCCAUGCAGUCUUGUCACGCCCAGCAUCCAACUGAUCAGCCAUCCUCCAUCCUCCAGAUGUGAGUGAGCCCAGCUGAGACCAGAAAAACUGCUCAGCCAAGCCCUGCUUAAAUCACUGACCCACAGAUUUUUGAGUUAAAUAAAUGCUUAUUGUGUUAAGGCUCU
rnacentral:lncRNA from 1 species